CACAGCUACUGUUGCCCAUUUGCAUCAAUGGGUUAUUACACUGCACGGGUCACCUUUCACCAGUUAUGCGAAUAUUUUUUGGUUCAAAUAGUUCUUUUUAGAGAGACCGGGUCACCUUUUACAUCAAAUCUUCCAUACGACUCAUUUCCGCUGUAGUUUUACUUCCAUUGGCUCAAAAUUCAUGAAACAUUCCUAUGUUUUCCUAUGGUGCAGCCAAACAACCUUUCAAUACUCUGUUUUUCCUACUCUUACAUUUAUCAAAUCCUGCAUUAAAGAGGCUCUUAUCAUCUGAUCUGCUGUGAUAUAAUCAAACUACACACGGACCAAAGAUUCCGACCUCAUCAUCUGAUCUGCUUUGCUAUUAUCAUCUGAUCUGCUGUAAUAUAAUCAAACUACACACGGACCAAAGAUUCCGACCUCAUCAUCUGAUCUGCUUUGCUAUUAUCAUCUGAUCUGCUGUAAUAUAAUCAAACUACACACGGACCAAAGAUUCCGACCUCAUCAUCUGAUCUGCUUUGCUAUUAUCAUCUGAUCUGCUGUAAUAUAAUCAAACUACACACGGACCAAAGA
rnacentral:lncRNA from 1 species